GCAGAGUAGCUGUCGACAUUAUAGUUGCGCAGGCACUUUGUUGACUCUAUAGAAUCUCGGGCCAAUCGCACGUCCCCGGGAUGGCGACUUUGCAUUCGGAUGUCUGCCCUAUCAACUUUCGAUGCCAGUUUCUGUGCCUACCAUGGUGACCACGGGUAACCAGGGUUGGAUUCCAGAGAGGGAACCUGAGAAACGGCCACCACAUCCAAGGAAGGCAGCAGGCGCGCAAAUUACCUACUCCCGACUCGGGGAGGUAGUGAC